rnacentral:rRNA from 1 species
UACAGAGGUGGCAAGCGUUGUUCGGAAUUACUGGGCGUAAAGGGCGCGUAGGCGGUCUUAUAAGUCUCGUGUGAAAUCCCUCGGCUUAACUGAGGAACUGCACGGGAUACUGCAAGACUUGAGAUCGGGAGAGGGAAGCGGAAUUCUCGGUGUAGAGGUGAAAUUCGUAGAUAUCGAGAGGAACACCGGUGGCGAAGGCGGCCUUCUGGACAGUGACUGACGCUGAGACGCGAAAGCGUGGGGAGCAAACAGG